UACGGGGGGGGCAAGCGUUGUUCGGAAUUACUGGGCGUAAAGGGCUCGUAGGCGGCCAACUAAGUCAGACGUGAAAUCCCCAGGCUCAACCUGGGAACUGCGUCUGAUACUGGAUGGCUUGAAUCCGGGAGAGGGAUGCAGAAUUCCAGGUGUAGCGGUGAAAUGCGUAGAUAUCGGAAGGAACAUCAGUGGCGAAAGCGACUUCCUGGACCAAUACUGACGCUCAUGUGCGAAAGCGUGGGGAGCAAACAGG
rnacentral:rRNA from 1 species